CAGUCUGGAGCACUGCGAAUUCUCUAUAAGGUUAUAUCCUGUGCAUUGCAUACAAUGUCAUAUUUUAAAGCUUCGUGCUCUUUCAAGAAUUAUGGUUGCAAGAUAUAAUUUUACGCUAAAAUUAUGGUUGCAAGAUCUGUGUUGUUCCAAGGGGAGGUUGUAUUUCUUCAUGAGAACCCAAUUUCGAUGAAUCAAAUCAACCGGACUACCGGAGUCGUCUUGAGUUUCCGACGUGCAAUUAUGGACGAAAAGGCGUAAUUUGAUCAUAAUCACGCUGGUAUUGCUUUAAAAAAUAUGAGUAGCCGGCUAAAUUCUGAAUCAGAGGAAUGGUUGUACCUCGAGCGCUUAAACAUGGAAGAGAAUAACAGCAGGAGAGGUUUUUGGUACUAUUGCUCCUGUGAAAAAAUAUUUACCUAUUUCAAGGAUAAAGUGCGACCUCAUCUUACAUGGAAAUUUUUAGGCAUACUGCUUUGGGGUCAGUUUUUAUCAUUGGUGUUAUGUGCCACAGGAGUUGCAGGUCAAAAAUUAGUCAUAGCGUGCGGCGUGAAGAUCCCUGCAUUUCAAGCAUUUUGCAGCUACGUUCUUCUGUCUAUGGUGUUUACGACUCAAAUUUUUUACAACUGGAAAGUGGGAAAGAAAAUUUUCAUCGAAAGGUGGUGGAAAUACAUUGUCAUUGCCGUAAUUGAUGCCUAUGCCAAUUUCUUAGUGUACACGGCAUAUCAAUACACAAGUCUCACCAGUGUUCAGCUUUUGGAUUGCCUUAGCAUACCUGUCGUGGUCCUUCUAUCAAUCGUGGUACUGAAAGCCAAGUAUGGAAUAGUUCAUUUUAUCGGUGUCUUUGUAUGUCUUGCUGGCAUCGGUCUCCUGGUUUAUGCCGACUUCAUAUCUCGAGGUGAAGGACCGAAGCCAGGUGAUCGACACAGUGAACUGCUCGGUGACUUGCUCGUGAUCGCGGGCGCAUGCUGUUACGCAGCCAGCAAUAUCGCCGAGGAAUUUGUCGUGAAAACGUCGACGAUCACCGAAUUUCUCGGAAUGUUGUCAUUUUUUGCAUCGUUUAUUUCCGGUGCUAACGUAAUGAUCUUCGAAUGGGAUGAUCUAUCUAGUGCUGAAUGGAAUAAAGAAACAAUUUUCUACCUUGCUCUGAGUGCUUUUGCGAUGUUUGCAUUCUACAUUCUCAUGCCAGUAUUGAUCCGCUACACCAGCGCGACAUUGGUUAAUCUCAUGUUGCUUACCGCUGACUUGUAUUCUUUGUUUGCUGGCUUAUAUCUAUUUGGAUACACGUUUUCGUAUCUGUACAUUAUAUCCUUCGUUACUAUCGUUUCGGGUGUUGUAAUCUUCAAAAUCUUUCCAACUCCUUCUCGACUGGAUCCAACAAAUGGCGAGGAAGAAUCGAACGUUGUUAGUGGGAACCUCUAUGGCUCCGUCGACGAGGAACAGGAAAGAAAUAUUCUUGCUGGUCAACAGUGAUGAUUUUCACAACUGGACGCGUGCUUUCUUGGCACGCCUUUCGAUCGGUUCUCCGCGGCAACUGGAAAUGUCAGCUCUGCUGAAGGAAUGAGAUAUGUGUCAAGAGAACAUGGUCCUUGUUGUGCCUAUCGUGCGUCAUUGCCAAACAUGCUGGAGCGAAAAACAGGAAACCCGAAUCGUCUCAACACUCGCCUGAUAUAGCUAGUUUAAUUAAUGUGAAGAGGUUUUUUGUAGAUAGGAAUGAAGGAACAACAGAAAACGAAACGUUCUUCGCAUGACUUCGAAACUUAAUGAACAUGAACGAAAAUAGCUUACGUCAAUGUGGGCCAUUGUGAUAACUGCCGAGAAGAAAAACAGUCCUCGCUUUUCGCUGCGUUGCUUCUAAUGCAAAAUUUAUCGCGUUUGUGUGCAAUGCGAUGAUGAACGGAUGAACGGAGAUAGUAAACAGGCUUUCUUCCAAAUAACCAAAAUUUAAUAUGUACAGGGGGUUGUUGACCGAAAAUGGUAUUGUUUUUCGUGAUGUUUGCUUAUAGACAAUCUUUUGUUGUCUUUGAAAACCUUUGUUAUUCACAAACAUUAGCACUUUUUUCAAAAACUGUUUUGAGUGGGAGCUUGUAAAAGACAUGAAAUCAUGUUUCGGUGUAUCCCCCACUGUUCAUACGCAAAUUCUUCUGCAUCGUUAAAAGCUCAUCGCAUACUCUAAGGUAAACUUAUCUGUUGAGUAGGUGGAAGAAAUGAGCUUUUUUGCUGUGUUUUUGAGCACGUCGAAGCGGCGAUAAGUUAUUUUGAAAACCGGUGGCCGUUACUCCGUGACGAACUUGGCUCUUGCGAAAGAAAUACAUCACCCAUAUUAAGUUUUUUUCUUAUUUUAAAUCCUCUUUAAUGCCCAACCCAACCAAAGUGUACCAUUUAAAGAACUAUCGUUUUUCAGAGGAUUAACCGUAGGUGCUUUAAAAUAAGCACUUAAGCAUGGCAUGCUCACUUUAACGAGAAAAAUUUUCAAGCAUAAAAUCUGCUUAAUGUGAGACACACAGAAUGCAUUGAAGUAAAAAACUGAUUGUAAUGAACGCAAACUAUGACAGUCUCCAAUUAAAUCAAGUAUUUAACCAUCAGUGGCGUUUUGAAAUCGUUUACUUUUUGUUACAGUCUUUACAUCUUUAUAUAUGCAUUUCAAGUCUUGAUGCCAGACAAAACGAUUGGUCGAGUUAGGAAUUUCCCUUUUGCAAGGGCUUAUUAAGAUGUCACGAAAUUCUCUAUGUUAACGGCGUCCACUCGAUAUUUAAUCAUGGUUGUAUUACCAUAAUGUUUGCACGAUUUGUGCUACUAAGAAUAGGGUAUAGCCAUAGGUUGACAACAUUAAUGAAAGGUUAAUUUAAUGAAUAUGAUUUAUGCCGAAGGACUUGAACAUACAGCCUCGGUGAAAUCCACCGUAUUCCAGAACAGUGGAAGGCAAAUUUAUUACUAAUUUGAAUAGACUGUAGGCAUAAAAUGUAGACUUUUCCUCGGCAAGGCCAAAUUAUAAUGAAUAACGAUGUCCGAUGUCAAGAUUUACAGUGAUACUGACAGAAUUCCGGAACCGCUAAAGGCAAAUUCAACACUAAUAUAUAUAUAUAUAUAUAUAUAGGCUUCAUAAAUGUCAUCUUGCCUUCGUAAGGCUAAAUUUAUGAAUAAAGUAGCCCGACAUCAAGAUUUGCUCCGAUAUUAAGCGAAGCCGGACCAGCCAAAGUCAAAUUUAAAAUAUCUUGGUACAGAGAUGGCAGCAUUGCACAUACAUUGGUGUCUCUUUCGUGCUGACUACAGUUUAUCGUUUGAGAAAAAAGAUCGAAUUUGGAAAAGAUGCGUCAUCCUUCCCCUAUUCGCGCAUGUACUGCGGUACUUGAAAGCCAUAUAGCUCGCGUGUGUACGCCCACGACCGGGCAUUGGACUGCCUGUUGUUUUUUUUUAUGAUAUUGUAUAUGGGUUUUUGUCGAAAAUGCCAAGUUGUUUUUCAUCGGUCGUUCGCAAGAAGACCAGCUGCCUGUCGUCUUCGAGAGAUAUGAAGGAAAUUUGCAUUUUCCUGGGAAAUCUGUCUGAGUAUUGAACACGGACUAUUUGUCAAUGAUGGUUUUAACUUGUUUUUAUUACUAUAUAUAUACGUAUGUUUGUAUAUUUACAGAUUUCCGGAAUCCCAAACAACGUGCAUGGUUACUCAUCCGAUAAAAUGUAAUUUCAUUUGCAGAACUUGGCGCGUUUUUGCGACGAUAAGGUUUUCUGACACGGUUUUUUUCGUGCGAUAACAGAUGUGAUUUAUGUUAGUAGAGUUUGCCUCUUGGGGCUUACGCAUGCUUAAGGCUGAUCCACAAAGAAUAUGUCUAGCCUGCUAAAAAUCGUCGUAUUGAAUCGAUGUUGCGCGUUUUAUGUAAAUGAGAAGGAGUUUUCGACCCAUUGAAUGUACAUGUUUAAGUACUAGGUGUGUGGUUCCGGUAGGCAAAAAUGUGUUUUUUGUUAGCCGUGUUAGCAAGAGUUCGUGAAAGCUGGAUUUUCAUUUUUCCUUAUCAUUUUUCGCAGUUCGUCGUGUUAAUCUUCUUUUCUGUUUUUUUCCCCGAUCUCUCAAUCAAUCGAAUUCGCGAUCAUCUCUUGUCGUCUUUGCUGCGCAGUCGUGUGGCCUUUGAACUGUGAGCGAUAAAAGAAUUUCUAAAACGAUAUACAGAUUAUGAAAUUUAUAGGACGUUUUAUCUAAAUAACAAAUGAAUCAUCACAUCGCCUGUUCUCAACACUAUGUGUUGUUGAAUUAUUGGCUAGGUGCAUAUGAUAACUUCAGAAGUGCAUUUUGGCAAAGCUGAGCGAUGAAUAAAAUACUUUUAAGAGUUUUUUUUCCUCGUUUUGCUUUCCUUCAUUUGCCAAAUUUCAAUUCGUUUUGUUAUACCGUAAAAUUAACAUUUGGCGUUUGAGCAUUUCAUUGUAAAUGCCUGCAUAUUUGUUUCGCGAGUUGUGAUCGUAAUUUCGAUGUGUAGAUUCGUGCAAAGUUUUGAUGUUCGCAUGGCCACAGCCUCACAACUUCGUGAAUCGGUUCAGGCAUUGUCUUACAGCUCUUUGGAAUUCGUUACUCAAAACCCCACGCUUUGCGAGGAAAUCCUGCUUGGAUUAGCUGGGUUGUUCGAAUAAAUUCUUGUUUGCAAAAAAAUGACGACGAGAUUAUAACAAUUACAGUUUCCCCUUUCCUCGCCUUUAAGGCACAUAAGUAACAAUUGCAUUCCGAUAAGGGCGUUCAUCGAGUAUGAGCACCGUGAAAAAGUCGAGUGAAUUUUCAAAAAUCACUAAAUGCUAUUUUAAACUGGACGUGAAAUUAUGAAAGGCGUUCGAAGUUUGCGAAAAUUUUGCAUUUUUACGUAAAUUGUUUCUAAAGAUAACCGAAAAAUCACUCCGAGUAAAACAUAUUUAGAAUAUCGGUUUUUUAAUUAAAAUCAUAUGACAUCGCAGUCUCAAUGUCCUUGCGAAUUAUUUCUUUGUCAAAUGCCGAUUCAAUAAUGUAAUCGUUGUAGCGCCCAAGCAAUUUUCUCUCUAAAAGCCGCCUGGGAUUUCUAAGUUUGGCGAAUUCAAUUCCGAUGCGAAAUUGAAAUAUUCGUCUUUUCUUACUUCGUGAGGUACAAAUUUGAGCAUUCGAUAAUAGAGAUAAGCUUGAAAAUCUCUCUUUUUGCGAUUAGCUGAUUAGUUUAAUAUAUUAAUGAAAUAAUUGAGACGUUUCGUUCCUCAUCACACGAAACUCUUUUGCGGUUUCUUCUUCAAACCGAAACAAAUGACGACUGUGCGCUAGCUUCGUUUACAAAACUAUGAUGCAUUCUUGAUCGGCGACUUUUUUAUUACUUCGAGAAGUUUUUGUGCCACCAUUGAAUGUGCUCGAAAAUCCAUCAAAACCAGAAUUCAUAGUUUGCGACAUUUCGUCCUAAUCACAUUCAAGCUGAAAGAUUUUUUUAACACAGGUUUUAGUGUGCGAAAAUGUAUAGCAUUCCUUCGUAGAUUACAAACUGACUAACACAAAUGCAUUAACGUUACGUUUUUCAACAUGCAUGUGCUUUGAAAUCGUUCAUCAAAUCCUUUCGCAAUUCAUGGCAAUGAUUAGCAAUUACAUUGCCUAAAUUGACAUUUGUGCAAAAUACGACAGCUAAUUCUUUGUACACGUUCAUAUGCAUCGAGGAAUGGUGGUAUGGAGGCACAUUUGCCUGCUUUAUGUCAAACUAAUUCAGCUUUCCGAGAUAGCCAUCGAUCGCGAGAACUUUAAAUAAAGCUUUGAGACAAAUUCUUGUGUUUAUUUUCAAUUUGUUUGAGUGGCUGCGACGAUGACGAAAAGCUUGUAUUUUUGAAAUGCUGAUCUAUUUUCGGAAUGUAUUUAUCACUUGUCGCGCUCCAUGUAUGGCCGCGCGAAAACAAGUGACUGUUUUUUGUCACUUUUUCGAACGGUAUAAAAGACUGCGUUUCUUCGACUCUCGUUCAUAACACGACCAACAGUCCAGCGGUUGACACAGCUCGAAAACUCUGAGGCAACGUCAAACAAACAGACGACGGAGAAACAUCGAAUUGUUUGGCGAUUCGAAGAUGAAGUUCAACAGCCUUCUCGCUUUUGUGAUGAUAUUCACUCUCAUUGCAAUGUUUUGUGACGAGCAAGUGUAUUGUAGUCGAGAAAUCGGUCAUCGGAUUGUGAAGAGAAGCUCCAAAAUGAACAAAGCAAGCAAAGCAGGAUUGUCUAACGCAGAUUCGUGUACUGUAAGAUUCCGAUUCCGAUGCUUGAGUAAAAAGAAGAAUGUUCCCGGUGCUCAGAGGUAUAGGAAGUUUGGUAAAAUUCGAAAACUGAGACGUUUGGUCAAAAAAAUGCUACUCCAAUUGUGAAGCACGCCAUGAAAUCACCACCGUCCACCGAUGUUUGUCAUUUUCUGCCGCUGUGAACGAAGAAAUGGUGGACAUAUAUUCGCUCCCGAGUGAGCGAAAAACAGACUCGGCAAAUUGAAUUGUUUUGUGACCAAGAAAAGGAGGCGAAGAAUUUAGAAUAGAACUAACGGAAAUUUUAGAAAUCACCCAAUCAUUAUAUGAUAGAAAUAGGUUCUUGAACAACAGCGAUUUCUUCUUUACAUUGAAAGUAGGCCGAAAUCGCUCGCUUAUUUGUAUAGAUACCAUUCAUUUUGUAAUUAAUUUUGCACGCAUGCGCAAUGAUCAAUAAAUUAUUACUCAUAAAAA